CGAUGACUCAGUAGGAUGUGAGAGCAGCAGCUCGGGGCUGCAGCCUCCCCGCUGCCCGGCCGCCGGGUGCAGUUCCGCCAAGCCGUUGCUUCGGGGGGGGCUGCUCACCCAGUCCCCCUCCACGGUUUGCCACUGCCUGUUUCAUCUGCAUACCAUGGCCCUCGGUCUUCUCAGCUGGGCUGAGACACGCGUGUUUGGGAGAUGCGCUACAGACCAGAUCUCUCAAAGCAAGGUGGGUUAAAGCUAGCACUGGGAGUUGGGAUCCACCUGGAUCACUGCGGACAUCUGGCUUGCAGAGCAGUCCCACAAACACUUACAGCAGCACGACUGCAGGGAUGGCAAAUCACAGCGGGGAGGGAUAGCAGGAGCUUGGAGAGACCACCUUCAGCCAGCGUUGCCACCACCGAGAAAGCGCCAUGUAUCCAGCCCCAGCCAUGUGUGUCUCCGCAGACCCAGGAUACACUUUUAGGGGGCCACGGUGUACAUCCCCCCAAACCCAGUUACUACAGCUAACAGCUGCUUCUUAGGUCAGCCCACCCAGGCUUUCAGACAUUGCCUCAACUGCUGGGCAGGUGUGCUCAGUGGGCACACCCUCUGCCAUGCAGACGAUGGGAGAAACCAGAGCACAACCCCACUUCUCUCCUGGAAACCGAAGGAAACCAACACCUAAGGAGACAUUUUAGACCUCUGCUGUGUCCUGCAACCAGGACACGCUUUGGGGUUCACAGCUGCAGGACUCUGAAGUGGUACCUAGCGAUUCACAAUAAAUAUGCAUCGCACCAAGGGAUCCAGAAAAAUUAUGUGCUUCUGCGGGCAGGCUCACUCUGAAAUUGUAAGUAAAAAGAAAUCCUUCCCAAGCCUAGUUUUGCACGCAGCAGACCAUGGGGGGUCAGCAGGGUUGGAUUUGGCUGAGGAACACGUGCUGCAGCCGUCAAUGACCACGAGGCCCGAAGUCCCCUGAGCCUUGCUCUUCAAGCUACGAGUAAUCUUGAGCAAACCGCAUCAGCCUCCCAGUAGUCCAGCAAAAUGCUGUACCUAUCAGAACCACAUAGUGUAAUUACUGAGUGGUUGAAAACCACUUUCAGAUUGGUAGAAGAGAUGCCUUGUUACUACGGAGUUAUGUUAAGCAGUAACAACACAAAUCAAUAAAAAUAACCAAAUAAUUAACCAUCGUCAGAUACUUAACACCCAUUGCAACUGCCAUUAGCAAGAGGUUUUGAGGGCUGUUCACAAAUCUCUUUAGCAUAUUAUAAAUUCCCCAUAGAGCGCUCAGAUGUCCCGGCUAUGGGGAUGCAUGCUGCAUACACCGCAAUCCUGUCCCUGUGCUAUCAACAGUAAUGGUUUCACAUCUAAAAAUCGCGUCCUGGGAAUAUGGUUGAGCACACAGCACGCUAGAGAGGCAUUAGCAAGAAAAGAGACAUGUGGACGGCCAGAGCACGCAGGAGACUAGACCGUGACUCACUGCAUAACCCGGAGGAACUCAUUUACCUUCUUGUCUUUGGUGCAACCCUCUGUGAGAAAUGUGUAUCAAAUUUUAAUUACUUCAUGGACUGUUAUGUAGUCUGAUUAAUGAUAUUAGAGAGCACUUGGAGAUCUCUGGAUAAAGGCUGGUGUUUUUUGUAAGUCUAUUAUUACUACUUUCAUAGCUUUCACUUCUUGUCUUGGGUCCCUGAGUUUAAAGCAGUUCUUUCUAAUGCUCUGCACGCAUUUUGUGAAACUCUGGCUGCUAGUGUCAAAUGCCAGCAUAUUCACAGGGCAUAAACCAUCUGGUUUUGCUGAAACUAAAUAUUCCUGUGUUUACUUAGGAAAAUGGAUGCAGACAUUUUCAGUUCUCGCAGCUGUUCCUUCCUGGGAAACAGGAGGAGAACAACAUUUUUCUCUCCAAAGCAGAGGAAUAGUAAGCUUGAUUGACAUUCCCCAAACUGCAGAUCCUGCAGGCCCAAAUUAUUUGCCUUGUUUUGCUUCAGAAGUCCUUCCCCCUUCCUCGCUUGGGGAAUAACGCCACAGCAGGUGUUGUGUAUUUCUGAUAGUUUGUGGGCAGUAGGACAGGCUGCCAGGGGAACUGAGAUUGUGUCAUAUGCUAAUAAAUAUAAUUAAAAAAAAAAAAAAAGCUCCUUACACUUUUAAAUAGUUCUGACUCCGAAAGAUGAAGUAAUCUGUGAUAGGUACUGCCGGGUACACCUCACCUUGUCCUUGCUUUGCAUGCGGCUCCCGGGAGGCUCUCCCUCAUGCCUUCAAGGCAAUGCUUAUCUUGCCCAGGCUCUAAAACCCAGCCUGGAGCUAUCAGGAUAGGGCAGGGGUAGCUGCUCUUUUCAAAAUAAGACUUUCAAGUCACAUGUACUGGAUUGAAAUUUCUGUUUGGUUUUUUUUAAAACUGUUUCUUGACAUCAACAAUCUGUUUUCUUGUUUUAAUUCCAGAGAAAAUAAGGGAACAUCUAGACCUGCCCUGCCUUUGAAGUAUGCAUAAAACGCAAUGAGGGCAUAACUAUAUUCACAGGAAUCGAGGUUCUGUCUCUUCACUCCCUGGAAAGGCUCACGUAUGUUAUUAUUCCCACUUUAUAAAUGUGGGAAUUAAAACUGAGAGCUCACCAAAGUUGCCCAGGUAAUGACGAGCAAAUGUAUGACAAGAAUCUGGGGAGGCUGAGGCCAACUUACCUAUUAGCUCUUUGAAGUGGAAAGAAUAAGUGUAAAACAUAUGUAGAAUAUUUACGGUGUUACUUUAAUAACAGCCUGCCUCUUUGGUUGGCUUAAUAUUUAACUAUUUCUACAAACUGUAACAGUUACAUCAAGAGAGAUGGAUCAGCUCUAUUACCACACAGAUCCAGACUCAAGGUCCCGCCCCAUUUAAUUAUUUAUACAAAGUGUUGCGGUUCCAAAUAGUGAUACCAAAAGACCCGCCUUGGAUGCUGUAGUUCAGAGAAGAGUUUUUCACAUCCUAGGUAUGUGCCUCUCAACCGAAAUCACUGGCUAUUUUUGCACUGUCCUCCCUCUUCUCUAAUUUCUCAGGAAAGUUGAGAAAGCCUUGGUUUUACCUCAGUGUAGAAAGUAUUGGGGUUUGGUUGGUGGGUUUUUUUUUCCUUUUUUUAGAUCUUAAAAGGAUGUAAUGAAACCUACUCUUUACCUAUCUUUAGUGCAAAUACUGAGAAACGAAAAAGGGUCAUAAAGGGCUAUGGAGUGAGAUCUGGUUGGUUUUCUGCACCUGUCUCUGAAUCUAAACUUUUGGGACAAAACAGUGAUAAUUUUUCUGCAGUCUUUGUAUAUUUUGAGAUUACCUCAAUACAGUUUCUUGCCAUUUCUGACUAAAGAAACAGGACCUGUGAAUAUGUUGUAAACAAACUAUUCUAAGAAAAUACAUUGCUGAUUUGGAUCACUACUUUCUGUUUCAAGUCCAAAACUGAAGGCGGCCACUGAGAAGGCAGCGGUGCUUCAGCUAUCGCCGCCCAGGGAGAAUAUGCUCCUAAUUACAUGCUGGACACCUCACCACACGGCUCCUCCCGGCUUCUUCCUCCCAUCUAUGUAACAGCUGCAGUCAGCUCUGAGUUACAGUCAGCAAAGGUGAUAGAGUACAUUAGAAACCAGCUAUAAAGAUAGGAUAACGCUGUAAUACACUGCCAUGGGCUGUCUAGCCGGUAACUGGCGACAGACCUAGGUGGGCAAUGUAGCUGGAGCCAUGGUUUUUGAAAGCAGCAGUUACAAUGGUGUAGUAAAUAACUUCAAAGUGCACUAACCUUAAAGUGGAGCGAGUAACAGAAGUACUAGCUGAACCAACGUAAGGUUACUAGGAAAGAGUGGGUAACGUCAGAGAGGACGAGACAGUGCGCUGCAGCUGGGGAUGCAGUGGUCUCAAAUUUGCAGCAGCAGCAUUAAGUGAGAACCCAUGUCUAGAGAGCCACAGUUUAGGGAAUGACACUUACUAACGUGUAAUUUUUUGCCAACUUCUUUGGAAAUGUCUGUCCUUCAAAUCUUCAGAACUCAGCAUAAGAGCAGUGCAAAUUAAAGGACACCUUGUGACAGCAUGCGGAUAAGGAGAGGUAAGUUGACACACAGGGUAUUUAGGGUAAGUAACACUGAAACCAAGUAGGGGAAAGUUAGAAGCAAAGCCAUGUUAGUGGACGUAAGAGGAGAUGUCAAAAUAACUGAAAGGAAGUUUAGAAAUUUGAACGUUAUUAAUGAGAAUUUGCCACAGGCAUCAGCAACAUUCAGCUCCUCCUCCUGCUUAAAUCACCAGUUAGGUAUCUUUGGCCUGUACCUGUGUAUGCUAUAAUACCAAAAAUUACUGAACAUCUCCCCCUUGGUCAAAGAAAUACAUUCAGUCCACAUGAACUAUUUCUUUCUGAAUCACAGAAGACAACGGGCCUCAUUCCCUGAUCUUUUCAUUCUAUUUGCUGCACUGGGAUUACGUCAAAGUGAACCACAGGACCCGUCGAGUUUUACCCACUGAGGGAGAAACUCAUGUACUUCUUUCCCUGCUCAAGCUAUGAAGCAAAGUGGUGGGUGGGGGCAAACUUUACAGGGUUAUGCAGCGCAGUGAGGUGACCAUCCUCCCAUUUGAGAACCCACAUACAGCUGGGGAGUGACUCUCUUACCCAGCUAUGCUCCCACCGCAUGGGCCGAUGGAGGAGGAGGUGGUGUGCGAGCUGGAUGCAGCCAUGACGGGAACCGAGAGGCGUCGUACUUCUGAUGUCGAGGGUAGCACCAGCGGGCUUUCCUCAUCGUACGACCCAGCUCUCCAUCGGUCCCUCAAGAAAACUGAGAAAACAGAGGAGGAGUGAAAUGGAGGAGAAAAACCAAGCUUCGUGUAUUUACCAGAGAUCCUCAAUAAUGCAAUGGCAUGACUUAUACAGGUCGAUGUGGGUACCAAUGUGAUGCGGUAAAAUAAAGUCAGGCACCAGCCAGCGUCUGCAAAGAAAGAAGUGAGGUAUUUUUUGCAGCUCAUUCUGUUCCACAGCAUCUCCAAUUAUUAUUUUGUUAUUAUGAUAUGCUGCUGAUUUGUUUCUCGAACAUGCUGACAUGCCUAGUAAAAACAGUUGUUAUGGAACUAUGUUUUGCUCAGUGUAUCUGAAAGUUGAGUAUCUUCUGGAGUUUUGGAAGACAAAUUAAUUGUAUCUUUAUGCCCCAGUGAAAGAUAAUUUCAUAUCCCCAUUUUGUCAUCAGUGCAGAAUGUUCUGUGAUAAUAUAAUAUAAAAUAAUAUGUCUGAACCUGAUGUUGCGAUGGCUUAAAAUAACCUUCAGGGCAGUUCAGUUGUGUGAAAUGAAACUGGGACAAUUCCUAAAAACUCAAGAGGGACUGUGGAUCUAUUAGUUUUGGCAGCAAUAAAGUAGUUGGGAUAAGGAAGAUCCUUUUAAGAGCUGCGUAAUUGUUUUUCCUAGUUUGACAAAAAAUGGAAGAAAAAUAUUUUAAGUUUUUUUUUUUUUUUAGAUUCUCACUACUAGCAGAAUUUGAAAAAUAAGAAAGGAUAGCUGCAUAUGCUUUCAGCAGAUGAGUUGGAAUUACAUUUCCAUAUACGCUGCCUACAAAUGGAGAUAUAGAAAAUCAGUUUUCUUUUCUGGAGUUUAUUCCUCUUCCUUCAGCCUAUCAAGUGAAACUUUAUUAUCAUUGCAUAGGUGUUUCAAGAGUGUUCUUUUACCUGACUGUCUGGACACCUAGCAUCAUCUGAUGCCUAAUCAUUGCCCCGCCCUGUUC